GGUCAGAUAGUGUAACGGUAACACGCUUGGACUCGAUACAUUGGGAUGGAGUGAUUCUUCCAAGUGAUUCUUCCAAGAGAACCUCUGUUCGAUUCGGGGUCUGGCCC